rnacentral:rRNA from 1 species
GAUGAACGCUAGCGGCAGGCUUAAUACAUGCAAGUCGAGGGGCAGCAUGAUUGUAGCAAUACAAUUGAUGGCGACCGGCAAACGGGUGCGGAACACGUACACAACCUUCCAAUAAGUGGGGAAUAGCCCAGAGAAAUUUGGAUUAAUACCCCGUAACAUAACGAUGUGGCAUCACAUUGUUAUUAUAGAUUUUUCGCUUAUUGAUGGGUGUGCGGCUGAUUAGAUAGUUGGCGGGGUAACGGCCCACCAAGUCUACGAUCAGUAGCUGAUGUGAGCGCAUGAUCAGCCACACGGGAACUGAGACACGGGCCCGACUCCUACGGGAGGCAGCAGUAAGGAACAUUGGACAAUGGACGCAAGUCUGAUCCAGCCAUGCCGCGUGAAGGAUUAAGGUCCUCUGGAUUGUAAACUUCUUUUAUAAGGGACGAAAAAAGGCUUUUCUAAGUCGUCUGACGGUACCUUAUGAAUAAGCACCGGCUAACUCCGUGCCAGCAGCCGCCGUAACAC